rnacentral:rRNA from 1 species
GAUGAACGCUGGCGGCGUGCCUAAUACAUGCAAGUCGAGCGAACAGACGAGGAGCUUGCUCCUCUGACGUUAGCGGCGGACGGGUGAGUAACACGUGGAUAACCUACCUAUAAGACUGGGAUAACUGCGGGAAACCGGAGCUAAUACCGGAUAAUAUAUUGAACCGCAUGGUUCAAUAGUGAAAGCCGGUUUUGCUGUCACUUAUAGAUGGAUCCGCGCCGCAUUAGCUAGUUGGUAAGGUAACGGCUUACCAAGGCAACGAUGCGUAGCCGACCGGAGAGGGGGAUCGGCCACACUGGAACUGAGACACGGUCCAGACUCCUACGGGAGGCAGCAGUAGGGAAUCUUCCGCAAUGGGCGAAAGCUUGACGGAGCAACGCCGCGUGAGUGAUGAAGGUCUUCGGAUCGUAAAACUCUGUUAUUAGGGAAGAACAAAUGUGUAAGUAACUAUGCACGUCUUGACGGUACCUAAUCAGAAAGCCACGGCUAACUACGUG